rnacentral:lncRNA from 1 species
AUAUUACCACUUUGCCUUCCCUUUCUUUUUGCUGGAAUGUGAUGAAAGGUGUGGACGCAUAGCAUCCCAAAUGAGAUAGGAGAUGCUGAGCAUGAAGACAAAAGCCUAUCGAAUGGGGUGUCAGAAAAGAAACAUCAAAAUAUCCUGAAUACAAAGCUGGCUGAUGCAGUGAUCUACAAGGUCAUGACUGAGGUAUCUUAUACUCAUCCUCAUUCAAGCAAGAUUAUGUUUAACUUAAAAAG